GCUAAUGUAUCCUGAUUCUUAGAGGCUCUUUAACUUUAUGUUGUUCGAUCUUACUAUUGAUCUCCGGAUAUAUGUUUCUCAUUUCAUAAAUUUUAAAAUAAGUUUAAAUAAGUUGGAAACAUACAUAGCGCUAUAUUUUUGUUUAUUUUUGGGAUAAAAUAUAUAUUUUUAAUUGUUUUUGCUAGCUAGAAACGCAUAAGUUCUGAUUGGCUUUCGUGCUAGAGCGUCGAAGAGACAGUACACAAAAACUUUUGCAGUGGUUGUGUCAGUUUCUCAGUGAUGACCAUUACCAAGCAGCUCACACAUUAUAUGAAGAAAAAACAGCCUAUCAAGUGGAAGAAAUGAUGAGACAUCAUUUGCAAGAAAAUUCAAAAUUUCCAAGAAUUUGAAAUAUAUCUGUAUUUUGUAAAUGUUGCGUAUCCGACCGUAAAUAUUUAAAAGUUGGAAUACAAUUUUUUUUUUUUUGUGCAACAAGUUGGAAUACAAUAUGGACAAAGAUAUGUCGACAGUAGGUCCUGCUUUGUAUCCCUACAUUCAUAACGUCAUGACUUUGACCCGAAACAAAACAAUGCAUCGAGAUGCAAGUAAUGAUGAUAUCUUAUUGGUUUAACUAAUUAGUCUAUAUGAUUUGUAAUCACAUCGUUGACGAGGCUUGUCAAAAAAAAUCCCACAUAAACGUAAGACCACCAUUAACGCGAGAUCUUAGGAGAGGUGCUUAGAUUAUUUUGUAUGUAAAGAAAAAGAAAAAUGACAAUUAUCUGAAGCAGCGACGCUUAAUUAGGAGAAGGAAGCGCCGGGGCUUAAGGGACACGUGUUACAAUUAGAGAGAGUUUGGUCUGAAACUCCUUUCUCUCUCUCAACGAGCAAAGAGAUGAUUCACUACUCCUCUUCUUCUUCUCGGUUGAUCUCCUCCUCAGCAACACCAAAGCGUCUCUCUUUUCUUCUUCUCCAUAUUCUUUAUGUUUCAUUCUUUCUUAAAUCGAAAAACCCUUCAAUUAUAAUUGGAUCUGUUCUUCAAGAAGAGGAUAAAAGUCUGUAUCUUUUCGCAGUGAAUCCUUCUUCAGCAACAGGGUCUUGGAGUUUUCUACGAAAUUUGAUUUGGGUUUUCGUUUUUUAGGUUGAAUUGGCAAAAAGGGCCCAUCUUGUGUUCGAUGAUAUUCCCCAGAGAGAAAAGGCGAAGACUUUUUUGUAUUUGGGAUUUUUGUGUUGUUUUGUGGGAGGGAAUAGAGAGAGAUGGCAGGUGAAGAUUGGAUAGAGCUCAAGUUUAAAUUCACUGAUGGCCUAAAGACUCAGAAAACAUUCCUAAGACUGUAAAUGAUGUGAAGCUCAUCAAUGCCGGGAAGAUACUAGACAACAAUAGGACACUGGCUGAAUCAACGCUUCCCGUUGGCGAACUUCCUGGAAUGGUCAUCACUAUGCAUGUUGUUCUUCGCCCUCCUACUUUAGACAAAAAGAGCCGUAAAUGUUUCUUUGCCUUCCUCCUAUGCUAAUAUAAAAGCAGGCUUCCUUUGAUUCUCUAGUUGCGUGUGAUUAUGGUAUUCAGAUUCCAAAUUUCCAUGUUUUGCAAAUGGUUUUAUACAUAUAUUCCUAUAAAUUUUAUCUUAAAUAAAACAAUGCUUAAUUUUU